AUUGAACGCUGGCGGCAUGCCUUACACAUGCAAGUCGAACGGCAGCACGGGUGCUUGCACCUGGUGGCGAGUGGCGAACGGGUGAGUAAUACAUCGGAACAUGUCCUGUAGUGGGGGAUAGCCCGGCGAAAGCCGGAUUAAUACCGCAUACGAUCCACGGAUGAAAGCGGGGGACCUUCGGGCCUCGCGCUAUAGGGUUGGCCGAUGGCUGAUUAGCUAGUUGGUGGGGUAAAGGCCUACCAAGGCGACGAUCAGUAGCUGGUCUGAGAGGACGACCAGCCAGAGUGGGGCUGAGACGCGGCCCAGACUGCAAGGGGAGGGAGGGGGGGGAUAUUGUGGACAAGGAGCGAAGGGCAGAUCCAGCAAUGGCGAGUGUGGGAGGAGGUCAAGCGGAUUUUACAGCAUAUGGGACCAGAAAGAAAUCCUAGGCUCUAAGAAAGGUGGGGGAAGAGCGAAGGGGACGAAGAAGCACCGGCAGACGACGAGAAAGCAGCAGGGGUAAUACGAGGAGGAGCACAGGUCGGAAC
rnacentral:rRNA from 1 species